GUAAAGUUUUGAAGCACAUUGGAAAGCUCAGACCUAUCUCUAUUUUUCUUGCAAAUUGUGUGUUGUGUACAUUGUAUCUUCUGAUUUUGGGGGGUCUAUUCGACUUAAUAAUAUCGCCUUGUUGUUUUCCAGGCAAAACCCGGAAGCGACCUUUGAAGUCUACGCCGAAGUGACCUAUCCGGUGGCAACAGGCACAGAUCCUGAGGUGCGGAGGCAAUUCCCGGAGGACUACGGUGACCAGGUUUGGCAUGUGUAAUUAAUUUUUUACAUGGCAAAAUUCAUUUCCAGGGUUGUUCAACAUAUUAUUGCUGUUCUUUUUUCAUAUAUAUAUAUAUAU
rnacentral:lncRNA from 11 species